AUACGAAGGGUGCAAGCGUUACUCGGAAUUACUGGGCGUAAAGCGUGCGUAGGUGGUUGUUUAAGUCUGUCGUGAAAGCCCUGGGCUCAACCUGGGAAUGGCGAUGGAAACUGGGCGACUAGAGUGUGGCAGAGGGUAGUGGAAUUCCUGGUGUAGCAGUGAAAUGCGUAGAGAUCAGGAGGAACAUCCGUGGCGAAGGCGACUGCCUGGGCCAACACUGACACUGAGGCACGAAAGCGUGGGGAGCAAACAGGAUUAGAUACCCUGGUAGUCCACGCCCUAAACGAUGCGAACUGGAUGUUGGGUGCAAUUUGGCACGCAGUAUCGAAGCUGACGCGUUAAGUUCGCCGCCUGGGGAGUACGGUCGCAAGACUGAAACUCAAAUGAAUUGACGGGG
rnacentral:rRNA from 1 species